rnacentral:rRNA from 1 species
AAUUAGAGGAAGUAAAAGUCGUAACAAGGUCUCCGUUGGUGAACCAGCGGAGGGAUCAUUACCGAGUUAUUCAACUCAUCAACCCUGUGAACAUACCUAAACGUUGCUUCGGCGGGAACAGACGGCCCCGUGAAACGGGCCGCCCCCGCCAGAGGACCCCUAACUCUGUUUCUAUAAUGUUUCUUCUGAGUAAAACAAGCAAAUAAAUUAAAACUUUCAACAACGGAUCUCUUGGCUCUGGCAUCGAUGAAGAACGCAGCGAAAUGCGAUAAGUAAUGUGAAUUGCAGAAUUCAGUGAAUCAUCGAAUCUUUGAACGCACAUUGCGCCCGCCAGUAUUCUGGCGGGCAUGCCUGUUCGAGCGUCAUUACAACCCUCAGGCCCCCGGGCCUGGCGUUGGGGAUCGGCGGAGCCCCCCGUGGGCACACGCCGUCCCCCAAAUGCAGUGGCGGUCCCGCCGCAGCUUCCAUCGCGUAGUAAUGUUUUCAGUUCGCGACUGGAGAGCGGCGCGGCCACGCCGUAAAACACCCAACUCUUCUGAAGUUGACCUCGAAUCAGGUAGGAAUACCCGCUGAACUUAAGCAUAUCAAUAAGCGGAGGAA